rnacentral:tRNA from 1 species
CCCCCGAUGGUCUAGUUGGAUAUGGCGUUUGGCUGCAAACCAAAACAUGGCUGGCUCGAUUCCGGCUCGGGGGA